rnacentral:rRNA from 1 species
ACGCUCGACACCUACGAGAGGCAGCAGUCGGGAAUAUUGCGCAAUGGAGGAAACUCUGACGCAGUGACGCCGCGUGCAGGAAGAAGGUUUUCGGAUUGUAAACUGCUUUAGACAGGGAAGAAGAAGUGACAGUACCUGUAGAAUAAGCUCCGGCUAACUACGUGCCAGCAGCCGCGGUAAUCUGAGCGGGCUGGCAAGGC